AGAUUCUCCAAAGAGAGGGAUAUGAUUGGUUCAGUUUUACCCCCUGUGGUAGGCAGAAUAAUGGCCCUGAAAGAUGUCUACCCCCAGAACCCAGGAAUAUGUUGCCCAGUGUGGCAAAAAGGAUUGUUGAAAUGUGAUAAAGACCUUGAAUGAGGAGAUUAUUCAGGUGGAUCCAAUCUAAUCUCAUGGUUUUUUUAAGAGAAUGUUUCGAGGCUGUGGUCAGACAGGAUGAUGUGGGUACCCACAGCUCUUAGGUGGCCAUGUUUCAACAGGGGGAUUCAAUUAGUUUUCUAUUGCUAUUGUAAGAAAUUACCACAAACUCUCUUGGAAGAUUAACGGAAAAGUAAGGACUGGCAUCUCUGUUGCAGUCACACAGCUAACAAUGAACAGUGCUGGGAUCUGACUCCAAAACCUGUGGAGGAAAAGAUCAGCAUCUCUGCAAGAGACCCAGCUGUCUCCUUUCCCCCUAGAGGACUUACGGUCUGUGAGAACCUACGAAAGAAGAUUGUAACAGGCAGGAAUCAUCCUCAGUACAAAUCCUCCAUUUUUAAGGGGUGAAAUUAUUUUGCGCAAUGAUGAGAUUAAUAUCGUUUUUAAACUAUCUAGAAAGGAUAAAAAUCAUAACCCUUUACAAAUGUGCAUAAAUAGUCUGAAAAAUUUAAAGCAUGAGGAGGGACGAGGUUCAAAAGAAAGUGUCGAGGAGGGAAUUUAGUAGCCGCCAAGCGCAACUCUGAACUAAGAUUUUAAAUUACUACAGCAAUUUUGAAAAAUAUCCACAUUCAAAAGCAUUAAUAACUGUGCGAUUAGCAUUUCAUUUUGAUUUUUAUACUGAAGUCAAAGAUGUUGAUGGAGUUGAAAUCCUUGGCACUGUUGCUGUGGCUGUGGAGCUGGAUCCUUGCCACAAAGAGCAUUGAGAGUGAAUGUUGUUUGCAUAUCUCCUGAAGGUCUUGGGAAAUAAUCUAAGAGAAACCAAAAUCUAAAACCUCAAAGAUGUACACUUCUGUCUUCUUUCUGAGAGCCAAGCUACAAUUUGAAUGUCCCCCGGAUAUUUUGGUGACUUAUUUCAAAUCAUUUUGAUGAUGUACUUGGCAGAUGUAAAAUGUAAUUACUCAGAUGAUGUAGAAAUACCAAAUGUUCAUAAUACUUUAAUACAAAGUAAUACAAAUGUUAUUGUUGAAACAAUAUGAAAAUAUCUUAAAAACAAAUUCUCUAAGAGUUCCCAUGGUGACACAGUGGUAAUGAAACUGACUAGUAUCAAUGAGGAUGCAGGUUCAAUCCCUGGCCUCACUCAGUGGGUUAAGGAUCCAGUGUUGCUCUGAGCUGCAGUGGAGGUCACAGAUGUGACUUGGAUCCCUUGUUUCUCUGGCUGUGGUGUAGGCUGGCUAGCUACAACUGCCAGUCUACACCAUAGCCACAGAAACACAAGAUCCGAACUGCAUCUGUGACCUAUAUCACAGUUCAUGGGAAUACCAGAUCCUGACCCACGGAGCGAGGCCAGGGAUCGAACCUGCAACUUCAUGGUUUCUAGUUGGAUUCGUUUCCACUGCACCAUGAUGGGAACACCUAAAGCCACUUUUUGAAUUUUGUAGCACAGUUUUCCAGAACAUGUCAACUUUACUUCCAUCUAAAUUGCUCAAGACACAGCAUGUUUUUAAGCAGGAACCGACACAGUACUGGAAAUUUAUUCCCAGACACAUUUCCUCCUGGAGUCUUCGGGUUGCUUGAGUAUGGGCUGGAGGGCUUUGCACCUGCUAUCCUUGAGCUUCUUUGCCUUGUCCUGGGGAAUCCUUUCCCUCUCUCCAGGGUGAGAACAUCUGCUUCCUAGACCCCCAUGUGUUCUCUUGCAUUCAUUUAUCACCUUAGGGGAACUUCGUCAAGUGGCCUCCUGAGAAAAAGUGCACUAAGGGGAUCUUUUAUGUUUUCAUUGGAUCUCCUUUCCUGCUAUGAUACUUUUUAAUUACCAAGAGCUAUUUUUUAAAAAAUUACAGCUUGUUCUUAUUUAAUAUAUACCAUAUCUUGUCUCUUUCCAGAUAUUAAUAAUAGCUUUUUUGAAUAUUUUUACUUUUUUUUUCAUUUCAUGGAUUAUUUCUUCCAACUUCUUUGUUUGCUUUGUUUUCUCUCAUAUUGAAAAGCUAGGAUCACCUCAGAUGUCUGGUGGUUCUUGGUUAUCUGCUUCUGUUGAAGGAUGGGGCACCAGCAAGCUGCUGGGAAGCCCUGAACACAUCGAUGGCUUUUAUUGACUGUGGGACUUGCUAUGGAAUUAUCUCUGAGUUUUAUUGUUAGGGAAUACACAGUGUCGGUAUGUUUAGGUCUUUUCUUUUGGGGCUGGUCAGAUUUUUCAGAGAAGAAUUUUCCAGUUUCCCGUGUAGAAGUUACAUACCCAAAUGCCACCAUUGUGAGGUCCAAGAGGGCAAUUUAAGAUCCAAAUAUAAGCCUCUUGAGAGAAAAAGGCAGAAUCCAGAACUAUGCAGGUAACUCCAGAAAGUUUGUUUACAUUACUCUCAUGUGACUAAAACUAAUAUUAGACCAUAUAAUCACAUGUUUAAAAGCUCUAAACAUUUAUUUAAGGUCUGUGGAAAUUUUCUUAGGUCUAGCUUUAUAUAUCUGCCUUAGUUCCUCAGUGAUCUAUGAAAAACAUGUUUAUGACUCUAUGAGUAAUAUGCAAAAUGGACAAAGAGUUUGCAAAUUUUCUUAGGGCUUUAGAGACAUCUAAAACCAGUUUAUGUUAUUUUGACAAUUAUUUGGCCAGAGGAUUUUUUUCUUAAAUAGAAACAAAAAUCACAGUAACUUCAAUGGUAUUUCACAAUUACAUAUGUUUUUUAGAGGUUGAUGUCUUCAUUUCCUUUCUUUAUAGCUUCUUUAUAGGUAAUAAGGUCAUAAAUCUCAUUGUAACAAGUAGAAGCAGACAGUUGCAAUUAAGAAGUCAACUUUGUUCUCCAACUCUCUUCAGUCCCAGGUUUCUGAGGUAAACAGUAUGUUUAUACAUCUCCACAGCUUUCUCUGUGCUCAUUUGAACCUGUAUACUAAUAAGUGGGAAUAUAUUUUUGGUUCGUUUUUGUCUUUCACAAGAAUUGGAUCAUGCAAUACACAUUACUUUGUACUCUGGUUUUUACAUGCAAUUUGCACCAUAUUCAUCCCUCUUAAAAAAAAAGAAAUAAGGGGUUGUUGGGAGUUUCUGCUGUGGUGCAGCGGAAACAAAUCUGACUAGUAUCCAUGAGGAUGUGGUUUUGAACCCUGGCCUCACUCAGUGGAUAGGGGAUCUGGCAUUGCCAUGAGCUGUGGAAUAGGUCGCAGAUGCGGCUCGGAUCCCAUGUUGCUGUGGCUGUGAUGUAGGCUGGCAACUGUAGCUCCUAUUCUACCCCUAGCCUGGGAACUUCAUAUGCUGUGGGUGCAGCCCUAAAAACUAAAAAAAAAAAAAAAAAA
rnacentral:lncRNA from 1 species